rnacentral:lncRNA from 1 species
ACUACCCAACAAAACAACAUUUGUUAGUUGGUUUAUAGAAGUGAUAUCCAAAGUUAAUUUAAGGAUAUCCACAAGAUUAAUUAUCAAACAAAUAUUGCUUAUUAGCACACAACCCCAAAUCUUAACAUGAUUAAGACUUGUCUUUCUUUCCAACUACAUCCUAUGGAGUCAUGAAAAUUUUGGAAGAUCUUCUAAUUGACAA